AACGGCUCGUAAAAGCCGUAGUAGUAGAAGACCAUAGUGUACGCGCCUGAUUCCUCGCCGCCAUAAACCGUGCUUCCGCGAUUUCAAUUUCCGCGAAAAAACGCACGUUGGACGCGUGUGCUCGACACUUUGGUUCGCGAACGAAAUAAAAAAGAAUAAAAAAAAAAAAAACGACGAAAAGGAAGGAAAAGGAACGAAGGAAGGAAAAGAAUAGCGAUAAAGAAUCGCCGAGAAAGGAGAAAAAGAGCGGGAAAGAUAAAACCUGAUACGGUAAUUCGAUAAUUCCAGACAAUGGUCGCGACCAGGUCUUCCAACAGGCUUUCGUUCUCGCGCGGAUAUGGACUAGUUAUGAAUUUCAUCCGUAUCAGGAAAAAUUUCCACUCCCGAGCCACCAGGUGAAUUAAGAUCGGUUUAAUAUCGUUAAGUGGGAGACGGUGGAUGGAACGGCAUUAAAGAGCCUCGGGUUAAAGAGACUCUUUUUAUUAUUUGCCCUUUUUUUUAUCCUCCCCCUUAUUCACGGUUAUAACGCGUUUCGUUUCCACGUGCGUGUUUCCCCAUAAAGUUUACAUUCUAUUUUCAGGGAUUGGACGAGCGAGUGUCGCGCGGAUAUUCCACACUGGAUGUGUGUACAAGGAAAUAUGGCAAAAACGGGGAUAAACCGAACGAACGGCGUGCAACGGUUUCGCAGCUAUGGGCGGGAGAUUGAACUUCCGGAUGCUUGUUGACCAGCCGACGAAUCAGGUCGAUCUGCUCGAGUGCCAGUUGGACCGAGUCGAGGUGCUGGGAGGAACAGGGGACGUAAGCUGACCAAAACUGCAACAAGGAACGAGUCGAG